rnacentral:rRNA from 1 species
AUUGAACGCUGGCGGCAGGCCUAACACAUGCAAGUCGAACGGGUGGCGGACGGGUGAGUAAUGACUGGGAAACUGCGUGAUGGAGGGGGAUAAGUACUGGAAACGGUUGCUAAUACCGCAUACCAUCAGAUGUGCCCAGUUGGGAUUAGCUAGUUGGUGGGGUAAAGGCUCACCAAGGCGACGAUCCGUAGCUGGUCUGAGAGGAUGACCAGCCACACUGGAACUGAGACACGGUCCAGACUCCUACGGGAGGCAGCAGUGGGGAAUAUUGCACAAUGGGCGAAAGCCUGAUGCAGCCAUGCCGCGUGUAUGAAGAAGGUCUUCGGAUUGUAAAGCACUUUAAGCUGGGAGGCGUUACCCACAGAAGAAGCACCGGCUAACUCCGUGCCAGCAGCCGCGGUAAUAC